GUAUUGGGGGAGACUGGGGGUAGCUGAUGUAGAGGUUGUGUUAAUUAUUAGUUAAAACUCGGUUUCUAAACUACUUUUGAAUUGUAUUUUGUUUGUAUUUCACUUUGAAGAUCUGCAUCUAGCUGUUAUUUGUUUUCAUUCUGUCAGUGAUAAUUAAAGCUCAAUUGUUACUUAAACUCACAAAUGAUUAUCUUCUGUAAUAGAAAGGUAAACAGGACUUUUGUUUUUGUUCAUUUUGUUAUUUCCUGUUAGAGGUUAACUAAUAUUCAUUCUUUAGCAGUUUAUGUCUAUAUAGCAGACAUAGAUGUAGCAGGUAUAGAUAUUGCUGUUUAGCAGCAAUAAUUAGGAAAUUGUCCAAAAGGUCAUAGGAAACCAUCUCACUUCCUUAUUUUUGCACCAAAAUGACAUACCAAACAUUGCAGUGUGAUUGCCAUGGAAAGGACUCAUGGUUUACAAACAGUGCCCCUCCGAGACAGGACUUGGUACAGACACCUUGGGGGACAAGGGGGUAGGCAAGGCGGGCAGGGAGUGGCCGGGGGGUGAGCAGCAGGUGGGUGCUGAGGUCCUUUUCCCUGCUUUAACCUGAUCAGGCUGUUAAUAUUUUGAGUUUUUCUGCUGUUUGUUGCUAAAAGUAAUUCUAAUUGUUC
rnacentral:lncRNA from 1 species